AGAGUUUGGAUCCUGGCUCAGAUUGAACGCUGGCGGCAUGCCUUACACAUGCAAGUCGAACGGCAGCGCGGGAGCAAUCCUGGCGGCGAGUGGCGAACGGGUGAGUAAUACAUCGGAACGUGCCCAAUCGUGGGGGAUAACGCAGCGAAAGCUGUGCUAAUACCGCAUACGAUCUACGGAUGAAAGCAGGGGACCGCAAGGCCUUGCGCGAGUGGAGCGGCCGAUGGCAGAUUAGGUAGUUGGUGGGGUAAAGGCUCACCAAGCCGACGAUCUGUAGCUGGUCUGAGAGGACGACCAGCCACACUGGGACUGAGACACGGCCCAGACUCCUACGGGAGGCAGCAGUGGGGAAUUUUGGACAAUGGGCGCAAGCCUGAUCCAGCCAUGCCGCGUGCAGGAUGAAGGCCUUCGGGUUGUAAACUGCUUUUGUACGGAACGAAAAGUCUCCUUCUAAUAACAGGGGGAUCAUGACGGUACCGUAAGAAUAAGCACCGGCUAACUACGUGCCAGCAGCCGCGGUAAUACGUAGGGUGCAAGCGUUAAUCGGAAUUACUGGGCGUAAAGCGUGCGCAGGCGGUUAUGUAAGACAGUUGU
rnacentral:rRNA from 1 species